AUUAUUUCGACUGUUUAACAAAAACAUUUCUUUUAGGACUCAUUGAAAGUAUGCCCUGCCCAAUGAAAAUUUAAUGGCCGCGGUAUCCUAACCGUGCAAAGGUAGCAUAAUAACUUGUUUAUUAAUUGUAAACUAGAAUGAAGGGGUAAACGAAAUAAAU
rfam:Helobdella robusta unplaced genomic scaffold HELROscaffold_35, whole genome shotgun sequence.